UGCAGUCGAGGGGCAGCAGGGACUUCGGUCCGCUGGCGACCGGCGCACGGGUGCGUAACGCGUAUGCAACUUGCCCUGCACAGGAGGAUAACCCGUCGAAAGACGGACUAAUACUGCGUACACUCACAGGGAGGCAUCUCUUAGUGAGGAAAGAAAUUCGGUGUAGGAUAGGCAUGCGUCCCAUUAGCUAGUUGGUGAGGUAACGGCUCACCAAGGCGACGAUGGGUAGGGGAACUGAGAGGUUUAUCCCCCACACUGGUACUGAGACACGGACCAGACUCCUACGGGAGGCAGCAGUGAGGAAUAUUGGUCAAUGGGCGAGAGCCUGAACCAGCCAAGUCGCGUGAAGGAUGACUGUCUUAUGGAUUGUAAACUUCUUUUGUAUGGGAAUAACGGAGCGGACGUGUCCGCUUGUGAAUGUACCAUACGAAUAAGCAUCGGCUAACUCCGUGCCAGCAGCCGCGGUAAUACGGAGGAUGCGAGCGUUAUCCGGAUUUAUUGGCUUUAAAGGGUGCGUAGGCGGCUUGUUAAGUCAGCGGUGAAAUCGUGGGGCUCAACCCCGCAACUGCCGUUGAAACUGGCGAGCUUGAGUGU
rnacentral:rRNA from 1 species